AUUGAACGCUGGCGGCAGGCCUAACACAUGCAAGUCGAACGAGUGGCGGCCGGGUGAGUAAUUUCUGGGAACCUGCCCGAUGGAGGGGGAUAACUACUGGAAACGGUAGCUAUUACCGCAUACCAUCGGAUGUGCCCAGAUGGGAGUAGCUAGUAGGUGGGGUAACGGCUCACCUGGGCGCCGAUCCCUAGCUGGUCUGAGAGGAUGACCAGCCACACUGGGACUGAGACAGGGGCCAGACUCCUACGGGAGGCAGCAGUGGGGAAUAUUGCACAAUGGGCGCAAGCCUGAUGCAGCCAUGCCGCGUGUAUGAAGAAGGCCUUCGGGUUGUAAAGUACUUUCAGCGAGGAGGCGUUACUCGCAGAAGAAGCACCGGCUAACUCCGUGCCAGCAGCCGCGGUAAUAC
rnacentral:rRNA from 1 species